AAAUACCUAAACGAAACCUAAUGAAACAAAAAAAAUGGAGAAGAGAAACAGCUGCGCCUUAAGAGAAGAGAAAGAGAAGAGAAGAAAAAGAGAAGAGAGUUGAGGGAGAAGACACAGAUUCAAGAUGGGUUUUGUGAGUGUGAUUCCCGCUGUUUCAGAGAGAGUUAAACCGUGAUCAAGGUGUUUCUGGAAAGAUCUCAAUGCAAUGAAGCCAUAGGAGAAAACGGCAUCGUCAUCGGAGUUAAGGUCAGGCCACAACGAAGCUUUCUUUCUGCGCAAGUAUCAUCUGCAUCAUCUUGUAACUCAGAAAUCUGCUUCGACGCAGCAACUUCAAAGGACUGAGGACGACUUAUUUGAAGUCCGAUCGACCUGAAAAUUGAAUCCAAUCCGCGAGCAGCUAACUUGUGAUGCGUUUUUCCGGCGAUCUAGGAAUAUCCAGAAGACGAUCUAUAUACCGGCGUGAAGAUUUUCGACCCAGCUUUCCAGAUCAAUCUUCAGAUAUCAAUUCCGAGCUGUGAACAGAAAGUUAUGACCAUUUUUCUGUCAUAUAUCAAAUCUAUCCGAAUGUGAACUGAGUUUGCUAAUCUUCUUCAAAUGGCAAAGUGAAAGACUGAAUAUUGUGAAGCUGUAGUGAUCGAGAAAAAGCUGACGAGCCAUAGUCAAGCCCUGUUGAGGUGGUGGCACCGGUAACUUGUCAAGCCGAGAACGAUAGUGGCAGAGAAUGAAUACCAUUGACG